AACUUCUCAACCACAUCAGAGAUGUGGCUUGGACGUGGGGGUUGUUUGCAGGCUUUUUGUUCUACUGAAGGUCGGCUCCCCUGAAAUGUAUUAGUGGUAUCUGGGCUACUGCUAUAGGUGUGAUAAAUUAUCUAUGCCUUUGGUAUGCUGCAUGAACAGAUUGCGCUGCUUAUAACAAAGAUUGAAUCUGACAA
rnacentral:misc_RNA from 1 species